rnacentral:tmRNA from 1 species
GGGGAUGUAACGGGUUCGACGGGGAUACUGAAGCUUAAACAGCGGGCAGUGGCGGAAUCCACUUUAAAAGUCCGAAUUUUUAAAAUUAAACGCUAACGAUAGAGUAGCACUUGCUGCCUAACUGAUGGCAGCCGUUCUGCCGCGGAGGACUGCGGCUGCGGACAGAGCGUCGAUUAGCAGUGCACAUGAACGGAGUAAGCUUUGCCUCCGUCAGGAAUUUAUGAAGCUACCGAGCUUUGCAGUUUGUUUAUGGGCUGCACUGUGAGGGAAUUCCGACCAUAAACUGCGCCCGGAGAAAUUUUUGUGAAUGUAUUUUCGGACAGGAGUUCAACUCUCCUCAUCUCCACCA